UACGGAGGGUGCGAGCGUUGUCCGGAAUCACUGGGCGUAAAGGGCGCGUAGGCGGCGCGGAUAGUCGGCGGUGAAAGCCCGGGGCUCAACCCCGGGUCGGCCGUGCGAACUGUCGAGCUGGAGCACUGUAGAGGCAGGUGGAAUUCCGGGUGUAGCGGUGGAAUGCGUAGAGAUCCGGAAGAACACCGGUGGCGAAGGCGGCCUGCUGGGCAGUGGCUGACGCUGAGGCGCGACAGCGUGGGGAGCAAACAGG
rnacentral:rRNA from 1 species